AGAAGGUCCGGGAGCCCACGGCGGUUGUUUUUUCUGUGAGGCUUCACUUACCUCGGUCUGGGCUUCUCUGAGGCUGCGAGAGAUGGUCAUGUCCGGAUCUCAACUGGGCCGGGUGAGGGCUGAGGACCUGAGGAGUCCACUGUGGGGAUGGAGAGGGACAGGGGGGUUUUCGGGCCAGAAACUUGUAAAACUCUGCUCGAAAAAAGAGACCGUGCGGCGACAUUUAAGUGCUGGGACAGAGGUGCAGGAAACACCUAAUCUUACCUUCGUAACACAGCCGCUUGGUCUCUAGAUGUGUUUCUGUUUAAAUCGUCGUAGCCCUCUAGAGCGCCGGCUUUCGGGUCAGGCCGGGGUUCAAGUCCCAGCCUUCGCCGCUGGGUCCAGUGACUUAAGCUCUCUUAGCUUCAGGUAUUUGCACAUUGGGAUUCCACUACUUUUUACUUCUCGGAACUUACUAUUCCUAAGCUGCAAAAUAGGCAGAAACAAGCAUAAAAUUCUGUCUCAAAGAAUUGGGAAGGUUAAAUGAGAGAACCCGGUAAAAACAUCCAUCACACAAUUGGCGUAGACAUGCAACAGAAUUUAGUUCCUUUGAAAACACGUAGUUUGCCACCGUCUUAAUGAUAACAGCAGCUAACAUUUAGAUAGGACUUAUGUGGCAGAUACUACUCUUAAGUGCUUUUAUGUAUUACAUAGAAUAACCCAUUUCAUAGUCGCAAUAUCCUUAUGAGGUAGGUACCAUUAUCCGUCUUUUACACAUGAGGAAAUUGAGGGCUGGAGGGUUCAAAUAACUUCCUAACGGUUACACAGCUGUGGAAUCAAGAUUCAGACUCACAAAGCUGAUGCCAGAGUCCAUUCUUCUUUUAGACAUUUUACCUAGUAGAUGUAUGACUUUGAACAAACCACUUUCCUGAAAUUUAGGUUCCUACCUCACAGAAAUAAUAACAGGGUAUGGAUUAAGUGGAAAUGAAAGACCUUAGUACACUCUAAGUCAUUCUACAAGGGCAGUAUUAUCUUGUACUUCUUGGUAGGAGAUAUGACUACCAAGAAAUGCUUAUAUGAUUCUCAAAUAGCAAAAUUAAAAGUUUAAUGAUAAUAACCCCAUAGAAGUAAGUGUAAAAUAAAGCAAACUGAUUCUCCUGUAUUGUGAUCAGGACACUCCUUUUGGAGGGCAGCUUUGCAGUUUGUAUCAAGAGUUAUUAAAUUGCCAAUAACCUUUCACCAAAUAAUUUUCCUUUUAAUCCUAAAUAUGAGAAGGCUAUUUUCAAGAGGUAGAAAGGUUUAUUCCAGGUUUUUUUAAUUAUGAAAAAUAUGAAACAAACCAAGACCAUAUUAUAUUAUUUCCACUGAAAGAAAUAUUAUACAACCAUUAAACAUUUUUGAGUAUUAAUAUGAAAAAGAUUUAAAAGUAGAAAACACAAGAUUCAAAAUUGCAAAUAUCUAGUUAAUAUGACUAAGUAAAAAAUGCAUAUGAAAAAAGAUUGGAAGCCCCAAUAGCAAAGAACACAUCUAUUACCUAGAUCUUGGUUUCCAAGUACCACUGUCCACUCAGGAGUCAUGGUGUCUUGGAGAAAUGACCAACUCCAGGGCUGAGCAGGGGUAAUAUAACAAGAGCAUGGAUACAUCAAACUAAAAAGCUUCUGCACAGCACAGGAAAUGAUUAAUGGAGUGAAAAGGCAAUCUACAGAAUGGGAGAAAUCCAAGCCAUGUAUCUGAUAAAUAAUUAAUAUCCAAAAUACAUAUAAGGAAUUUCUGUAAUUCAAAAGCAGAACAACACAUGAUCUGGUUAAAAAAUGAAAAAAGGAUUUGAAUAGACAUUUUUCCAAAGAAGACGUACAGAGGACCAACAGGUAUAUAAAAAGAUGCUCAACAUCACUAAUCAUCAAGGAAAUGCAAAUUAAAACCACAAUGAGCUAUCACCUAACACCUGUUAGGAUGACUUAUUGCAAAAACAAAAACAAGUAUUGGCAAGGAUUUGGAAGAAUUGGAACCCUUGUACACUGUCAGUGGGAAUGUAAAAUGGUAUAGCCACUAUGGAAAACAAUAUGGAGAUUCCUCACCAAAUUAAAAAUAGAACUAUAUCACCCAGCAAUUCUACUUCUGGGCAUUUAUCCAAAAGAAUUGACAUCAGGAUAUAGAAGAGAUAUUUGCACUCUUGUGUUCAUUGCAGCACUAUUCACAAUAGCCAAGAUGUAGGAACAACGUAAAUGUCUAUCUACAGAUGAAUAGAUAAAAUAUGGUAUAUACAUACAAUGGACUAUUAUUCAACCUUUAAAAAGAAGGAAAUAGCUGUCAUAUGCAAUAAUAGAGAUGAACCUUGAAGAGAUUAUGCUAAGUGAAAUAAGCUAGUCACCGAAGGACAAAUACUGCAUGAUUUUACUUAUAUAAAGUAUCUAAAAUAGUUAAAACUCAUAGAAACAGAAUAGAAUGGUGGUUCCUAGGGGCUGUUAGAAGAGAGAGAUGGCGUUGCUAUUCAGCGAGUAUAAAGUUACAUUUAUGUGAGAUGAAGAAAUUCUUGAGAUCUGCUGAACAAUAUCAUGUCUAUAGUUAAUACUACAUUUUGUUGAGAAGGUAGAUCUCAUUUUAAAUACCCUUGUGGCAAUUAUUAAAAAAAAAAAAAAGAUGAACUGGGAGCACCUUGUUGUAGAAAGUAAGGAACGGCUCAAAAAGUAAUGGGGGCAUGUUAAAAUGAUACAGGAGUCAACUUCAAGGGGCUCCCAGUGACCAAAUUUGAGACAAUUUGAGCAUCAAAAUAAAGUGAUAAUAAGGGAUCAUAACCCACUGAAGAAAAUAGGAAUCAGUGAGUCCCCACUAACAAGGAAGAAAGAAAAAGUGCUUCCCUAAAGUUGAAUGCCAACUAAUAAAUGUAGAAGGAAUUACAUAGGUAGAAAAUCACCAUUUGUCAAACAAUUGAUUCAGCCAAGAAUCAUCAAUGGAUGCUAAAACUAUGGGGUGAAAGUUUGAUGAUUGGGAUAUCUAUAUAGUCUCAAAGUGUCUCUUCACAAAAUGCUUAACAACUACAAAGAUAAAAGUAGAAACUACAAUAAAAAACCUGGCAGACACCAUCUUAGGUAAUAAAGUUUACAUCAUCAAUAAUGGGACAAACUGACAUGUGUCUAUUUAUUGUAUUGAGAAGAACAUACCUCUUUUGUGGAUUCCUGCCAAAAAUGCAUGACCUGUGUCUAAUCAUAGGUAAACAUCAGACAAAUCUAAAUGUCCAGAGGGACACUGUACAAAAUAACUGGCUUAUUCUCUUUAAAUAUGUCAAGGUUAUAACAGACAAUGAAUGACAGCCUGAGGAACUGUUAUAGAUUAAAGGAGACUAAAGAGCUAUGACAAUUUAAUGCAACAUGUGAUCCUGGAUUUGGCGUGAACCAGAGGGAUUUUUUUUUUUUUUUUUUGGUAAAGGACAGUAUUGGGAUAAUUGGCAACAUGCGAAUAAGGUCUAAACAUUAGAUCAUAAUUCUGUAUCAAUGUUAAUUUCCUGGUUUUGAUAAUUAUACUGUGGUUAUAUUAGAGAAUGGCCUUGUUUUUAGGAACUAUUUAGGCGUAAAGGAGUAGUAUAUCUGCAACUUAACUCUAAUGGUUCAGGCAAAAAGUAAUGCUGUGUAUAUAUAUUGAGAGAGAACAUGGAAAAUGGAAAAUGUCAAGGGUCACGGAAUCUGAGUGAAGCAUAUAUAGGACUUCUUUGUUCUAUUAUUUCAUAGUAGAAACUACAAAAAAAAGGGAAAGGAAUUGUUCCAAUAUGAUAGCUACUGUCUCAAGGUGCUUUUAUCAUGGGUAAUUUUCUUUACCAGAUUUUCUAUAAUAUAGCCUUGUGUAUAUUUUUUUGAGAAACGCCAUAUAUAAUCUUAUAGUUAUGCCAGACAUGUACCUUAGACAGUGUACUUUAAAAAAAUUUUUUUUCAGCUGGGUGCGGUGGCUCAUGCCUGUAAUCCCAGCAACUUUGGAAGGUUGAGGCAGGCGGAUCACUUGAGGUCGGGAGUUCAAAACCAGCCUGGCCAACAUGGAGAAAUCCUGACUCUACUAAAAAAUACAAAAUUAGCCAGGCAUGGUGGCGCAUGCCUGUAAUCCCAGCUGCUCGGGAGGCUGAGGUAGGAGAAUUGCUUGAACCCAGGAGGUGGAGGUUGCGGUGAGCUGAGAUUGCGCCAUUGCACUCUAGCCUGGGCAAAAUAAAGAGCGAAACUCUGUCUCAAAAAAAAAAAUUUUUUUUUUUGAAAGAAUAAUUGUGGUAGUUGUUUUUGGACUCGAUCCAGGGUGUAGUAUUAUAGUGUCAUGGCUUGGAUUUUUUAUUAUAAUUCCAGCGAGGACAUUGACAUAGAUAUACCAAAGGGAAAGACCCUGAGAGUGUGACACAGAGACCAGUGGAGUGAUGUUACACAAGGUCUUAUUUCCUACAUUGUUGGUUCUCACUGCUGGCUUCAUGACCCUCCAUCAUAAUCCAAGUUAUCUCAAGAAGUAUAACUCUUAUCAACCCAAUUUUUAAAAAAUGUAUUCUCAGUGACAUUCUUAGAAGGAUGGAGCACAUAUUCAAGCAUAUAAUAGAAUAUAUAACUUCAGAAAGUUUGGUAGUUACUGCUCAAAGCUAUCUUGAGAUGAAAUAUGUAAAUAUGUCAAGAGAAAUUAUAAAUGAAACUGCCAACAGUGACUACAUCUGGAGGGUGGAACUAGGGGGAAUCAGGGACUUUAACUCAUGUUUAUUUAAAAUUAUUUUGAAUAGAGAUUAUAUUUAUCUGAUAUAAAGUUAUUAAGAUAUAAAAUAGUAUACCAUGGAAAGUGUCCCUUCUUGCUCUGUCCCCCAGAUACUCAGUUUCUCUCCCCAGAGGCAACCGUGAUUAACUGUUUCUGGCAUAACUCCCAAGAUAUUGGAUGCAGGUAAAAACAAAUGCCUAUUUUUUCCUGUUUUUCUACACAAAAGGUAAUGCAUCAUGUCACUUUUAAAACAAAAAAAAAAUUAAGAAAACAACAGUGCUAUGUAAGUCUAAAGAGAAAGAUUAAGACAAUGAGAUGUAGAUAAAGAGAAAGGUAGAGUUUUUAUUUGCUGGUCUAAUCAGGCAUUCUAAAGAAUGUACAUAAAAGGAACCAGAGUUAAGAACUCUGUUCUGUAUCUUGAAUUAACUUGUAUAUUUCAAAGAAUUUGGGACUAUAGAACAUGUUUAGGGGAUUAAUAUAGUCUGAACUUAGUGUAGUAGUUACUUCUGGUAUAAAAUAUCUCAAUUUCUUUUUCACCUUAAGUAGACUUAAGGUGACACCUUAAGUAGACACAUAUUAAGCAAAUAUGUAUUGUUUGCUUGACAUUUUACAUAAAAUAAAUUUAAUAUAUGAAUUAAAUUCUAAUUGUGGAUUUUUAGGAUGUGUCAUAUUAAUUAAAACAGUGAAUAAUAUGGUACAUACAUACAAUGGAAUAUUAUUUGGCCUCAGAAAGAAACAUUUUGACACAUGCUACAAUAUAGAUGAAGCUUGAAGACAUUAUGCUAAGUGAAAUAAGCCAGUCACAAAAGGACAAAUAUUGUAUUAUUCCAUUUAUAUAGUUUCUAGAGUAGUCAAAUUCGUAGAAACUAGGAUGGUAGUUGUUAGGGUCAGGGAGAAGAGGGGAUGGAAAGGUACUGUUUGAUUGGUACAGAGUUUCAGUUUGAGAAGAUGAAUAAAAGAAAAAAAUGACAUCGGAUUGCUGGCAAGAUGGCUGAAUAGGAACAGCUCCAGUCUGCAGCUCCCAGCAAGAUCAAUGCAGAAGGUGGAUGAUGUCUGCAUUUCCAACUGAGGUACCUGGUUCAUCUCAAUGGGACUGGUUGGACAGUGGGUGCAGCCCACGGAGGGCGAGCCAAAGCAGGGUGGGGUGUUGCUUCACCCUGGAAGUGCCAGGGGUCGGGGAAUUUUUUCCCCUACCCAAGGGAAGCUGUAAGGGACUGAACCUGGGGAACUGUGCACUCUGGCCCAGAUACUGCACUUUUCCUAAUGGUCUUCGCAACCUGCAGACCAAGAGAUUCCCUCCAGUGCCUACCCCACCAGGGCCCUGGGUUUCAAGCACAAAACUGGGUGGCCGUUUAGGCAGACACCGAAAUAGCUGCACAAGGUUUUUUGUUUGUUUGUUUGUUUUUUCCCAUACCCCAGUGGUGCCUGGAAUGCCAGUGAGACAGUGAGACAAAACCAUUCACUCCCCUGGAAAGGGUGCUGAAGCCAGGGAGCCAAGUGGUCUGGCUCAGUGGUCCCACCCCUGUGGAGCCCAGCAAACUAAAAUCCACUGGCUUGAAAUUCUCGCUGCCUGCACAGCAGCAGUCAGAGAUCAACCUGGGACACUUGAACUUGGUGCAGGGAGGGGCAUCCGCCAUUGCUGAGGCUUGAGUAGGCGGUUUUACCCUCACAGUGUAAACAAAGCCACUGGGAAGUUCAAACUGGGCAGAGCCCACUGCAGCUGAGCAAGGCUGCUGUGGCCAGACUGCCAGAUUUGCCCUCUCUGGGCAGGGCAUCUCUGAAAAAAAGGCAGCAGCCCCAGUCAGGGACUUUUAGACAAAACUCCCAUCUCCCUGGGCCAGAGCACCUGGGGAAAGGAGUGCCUGUAGGCGCAAUUUCAGCAGACUUAAAUGUUUCUGCCAGAUGGCUCUGAAGAGAGCAGUGGAUCUCCCAACACAGCAUUCGAGCUCUGCUAAGGGUCAUACUGCCUCAAGUGGGUGCCUGACCCCCGCAUAUCCUGACUAGGAGACACCUCCCAGUAGGGGCUGACAGACACCUCAUACAGGAAAGCUCUGGCUGGCAUCUGGCAGGUGCCUCCCUGGACGAAGCUGCCAGAGGAAAGAACAGGCAGCAAUCUUUGCUGUUCUGCAGCCUCUGCUGGUGAUACCCAGGCAAAUGGUCUGGAGUGGACCUCCAGCAAACUCCAGCAGACCUGUAGCAAAGGGGCCUGACUGUUAGAAGGAAAACUAACAAACAGGAAGAGCAUGUCCACUCAGAGAUCCCAUCCAAAGGUCACCAACAUCAAAGAUCAAAGGUAGAUAAAUCCACAAAGAUGGGGAGAAAUCAGUGCAAAAAGGCUGAAAAUACCAAAAACCAGAAUGCCUCUUCUCCUCCAAAGGAUCACAACUUCUCACCAGCAAGGGAACAAAACUGGAUGGAGAAUGAGUUUGACAAACUGACAGAAGUAGGCUUCAGAAGGUGGGUAAUAACAAAUUCCUCUGAGCUAAAGGACCAUGUUCUAACCCAAUGCAAGGAAGCUAAGAACCUUGAAAAAAGGUUAGACGAAUUGCUAACUAGAAUAACCAGUUUAGAGAAGAACAUAAGCGACCUGAUGGAGCUGAAAAACACAGCACAAGAACUUCCUGAAGCAUACACAAGUGUCAAUAGCCGAAUCAAUCAAGUGGAAGAAAGGAUAUCAGAGAUUGAAGAUCAACUUAAUGAAAUAAAGUGAGAAGACAAGAUUAGAGAAAAAAGAAUAAAGAGGCACAAACAAAGCCUCCAAGAAAUAUGGGACUAUGUGAAAAGACCAAAUCUAUGUUUGAUUGAUCUACCUGAAAGUGACAGGGAGAAUGGAACCAAGCUGGAAAACACUCUUCAGGAUAUUAUCCAGGAGAACUUCCCCAACCUAGCAAGACAGGCCAACAUUCAAUUUCAGGAAAUAGAGAGAACACCACAAAGAUACUCCUUGAGAAGAGCAACCCAAGACACAUAAUUGUCAGAUUCACCAAGGUUGAAAUGAAGGAAAAAAUAUUAAGGGCAGCCAGAGAGAAAGGUCAGGUUACCCACAAAGGGAAGCCCAUCAGACCAACAGUGGAUCUCUCUGCAGGAACCCUACAAGCCAGAAGAGAGUGGGGGCCAAUGUUCAACAUUCUUAAAGAAUUUUCAACCUAGAAUUUCAUAUCCAGCCAAACUAAGCUUCAUAAAUGUAGAAGAAAUAAAAUUCUUUACAGACAAGCAAAUGCUGAGAGAUUUUGUCACCACCAGGCCUGCCCUACAAGAGCUCCUGAAGGGAGCACUAAACAUGGUAAGGAACAACAGGUACCAGUCACUGUAAAAACAUACCAAAUUGUAAAGACCAUCGACACUAUGAAGAAACUGCAUUAACUAAUAAUGGACAAAAUAACCAGCUAGCAUCAUAAUGACAGGAUCAAAUUCGCACAUAACAAUAUUAACCUUAAAUGUAAAUGGACUAAAUGCCCCAGUUAAAAGACACAGACUGGCAAAUUGGAUAAACAGUCAAGACCCAUCGGUGUGUUGCAUUCAGGAGACCCAUCUCACAUGCAAAGACACACAUAGGCUCAAAAUAAAGGGAGGGAGGAAUCUUUACCAAGAAAAUGGAAAGAAAAAAAAAAGGGGGUUGCAAUCAUAGUCUCUGAUAAAACAGACUUUAAACCAGCAAAGAUCAAAAAAGACAAAGAAGGGCAUUGCAUAAUGAUAAGGGGAUCAAUGCAACAAGAAGAGCUAACUAUCCUAAAUAUAUAUGCACCCAGUACAGGAGCACAAGAUUCAUAAAGCAAAUUCUUAGAGACCUACAAAGAGACUUAGACUCCCACACAAUAAUAGUGGGAGACUUUAACACCCCACUGUCAAUAUUAGAUCAAUGAGAUGGAAAAUUAACAAGGAUAUUCAGGACUUGAACUCAGCUCUGGAACAAGCAUACCUAAUAGACAUCUACAGAACUCUCCAUCCCAAGUCAGCAGAAUAUACAUUCUUCUCAGCACCACAUCACAUUAAUUCUAAAAUUGACCACAUAAUUGGAAGUAAAACACUCCUCAGCAAAUGCAAAAGAAUGGAAAUCAUAACAGUCUCUCAGACCACAGUGCAAUCAAAUUAGAACUCAGGAUUAAGAAACUCACUCAAAAUCACACAACUGCAUGGAAACUGAACAACCUGCUCCUGAAUGACUGCUAGGAAAUAAUGAAAUUAAGGCAGAAAUAAAUAAGUUCUUUGAAACCACUGAGAACAAAGUCACAACAUACCAGAAUCUCUGAGACACAGCUAAGGCAGUGUUUAAAGGGAAAUUUAUAGCACUAAAUGCCCACAAGAGAAAGCAGGAAAGAUCUAAAAUCGACACUCUAACAUCACAAUGAAAAGAGCUAGAGGAACAAGAGCAAACAAAUUCAAAAGCUAGCAGAAGACAAGAAAUAACUAAGAUCAGAGCAGAAUUGAAGGAGAUAGAGACACAAAAAAACCUUUAAAAAAUGAAUCCAAGAGCUGUUUUUUUUGAAAAGAUCAACAAAAUAGACUGGUAGCCAAUUAAUAAAGAAGAAAAGAGGGAAGAAUCAAACAGACACAAUAAAAAAUGAUAAAGGGGAUAUCACCACUGAUCCCACAGAAAUACAAACUAGCAUCAGAGAAUAUUAUAAACACCUCUAUGCAAAUAAACUAGAAAGUCUAGAGGAAAUGGAUAAACUCCUGGACACAUACACCCUCCCAAGACUAAACCAGGAAGAAGUUGAAUCCCUGAAUAGACCAAUAACACGUUUUUAUUUUAUUAUUUAAUAGCCUACCAACCAAAAAAAAGCCCAGGAUCAGACAGAUUCACAGCUGAUUUCUACCACAGGCACAAAGAGGAGCUGGCACCAUUUCUUCUGAAACUAUUUCAAACAAUAGAAAAUGAGGGACUCCUCCCUAACUCAUUUUAUAAGGCCAGCAUCAUCCUGAUACCAAAACCUGGCAGAGACACAACAAAAAAAAAUUUCAGGCCAAUAUCCCUGAUGAGUAUCAAUGUGAAAAUCCUCAAUAAAAUACUGGCAAACUGAAUCCAGCAGCACAUCAAAAAACUUAUCCACUACUAUCAAGUUGGCUUCAUCUUUGGGAUGCAAGCAUGGUUCAACAUAUGCAAAUCAAUAAAUGUAAUCCAUCACAUAAAAGAACCAAUGACAAAAACCACAUGAUUAUCUCAAUAGAUGCAGAAAAGGCCUUCGAUAAAAUUCAACACCCCUUCAUGCUAAAAACUCAAUAAACUAGGUAUUGAUGGGGAAUGUAUCUCAAAAUAAUGAAAGCUAUUUAUGACAAACCCACAGCCAAUAUCAUACUGAAUGGGCAAAAGCUGGAAGCAUUCCCUUUGAAAACUGGCACAAGACAAGGAUGCCCUCUCUCACCACUCCUAUUCAACAUAGUAUUGGAAGUUCUGGCCAGGGCAAUCAAGGAAGAGAAAGAAAUAAAGUGUAUUCAAAUAGAAAGAGAGGACGUCAAGUUUUCUGUUUGCAGAUGACAUGAUUAUAUAUUUAGAAAACCCCAUUGUCUCAGCCCAAAAUCUCCUUAAGCUGAUAAGCAACUUCAGCAAAGUCUCAGGAUACAAAAUCAAUGUGCAAAAAUCAAAAGCAUUCCUAUACACCAAUGACAGACAAACAGAGAGCCAAAUCAUGAGUGAACUCCCAUUCACAACUGCUACAAAGAGAAUAAAAUACCUAGGAAUACAACUUACAAGGGCUGUGAAGGACUUCUUCAAGGAGAACUACAAACCACUGCUCAAAGAAAUAAGAGAGGACACAAAUGGAAGAACAUUCCAUGCUCAUGGAUAGACAGAAUCAAUAUUGUGAAAAUGGCCAUACUGCCCAAAGUAAUUUAUAGAUUCAACGCUCUCCUCAUCAAGCAACCAUUGACUUUCUUCACAGAAUUAGAAAAAACGUCUUUAAAUUUCAUAUGGAACCAAAAAACAGCCCGUAUAGCCAAGACAAUCCUAAGCAAAAAGAACAAAGCUGGAGGCAUCAUGCUACCUGACUUCAAACUAUACCACAAGGCUACAGUAACCAAAACAGCAUGGUACUGGUACUAAAACAGAUACAUAGACCAAUGGAACAGAACAGAGGCCUCAGAAAUAAUGCCACACAUCUACAACCAUCUGAUCUUUGACAACCCUGACAAAAGCAAUGGGGAAAGGAUACCCUAUUUAAUAAAUGGUGUCAGGAAAACUGGCCAGCCAUAUGCAGAAAACUGAAACUGGACCCUUUCCUUACACCUUAUACAAAAAUUAACUCAAGAUGGAUUAAAGACUUAAACCUAAGACCUAAAACCAUAAAAACCCUAGAAGAAAACCUAGGCAAUACCAUUCAGGACACAUGCAUGGGCGAAGACUUCAUGUCUAAAACACCAAAAGCAAUGGCAACAAAAGCCAGAAUAGACAAAUGGGAUCUAAUUAAACUAAAGAGCUUCUGCACAGCAAAAGAAACUGGCAUCAAAGUGAACAGGCAGCCUACAGAAUGGGAGAAAGUUUUUGCAAUCUGUCCAUCUGACAAAGGGCUAAUAUCCAGAAUGUACAAAGAACUUAGGAGGACAGAAAACCAAACACCGCACGUUCUCACUCAUAGGUGGGAAUUGAACAAUGAGAACACUUGGACACAGGGCGGGGAACAUCACACACGGGGACCUGUCAUGGGGUAGGGGGCAGGGGGAGGGAUAGCAUUAGGAGAAAUACCUAAUGUAAAUGACGAGUUAAUGGGUGCAGCAAACAAACAUGGCACAUGUAUACCUAAGUAACAAACCUGCACGUUGUGCACAUGUACCCUAGAACUUAAAGUAUAAUAAUAAAAAAAAAUUAAACUCAUUCAGCACCUUACAACUUUCAUGCUUUGCACACUCACUGUGUCAUUCAACAAAUCCUGUCAAACUUACUAGGUGCUAUUGAACCUCCGCUCAUGUACACUUACUGUGUAAUCCAGCAGUCACUUUUUGCAUAUUUGUUCUCUCAUCUAACUUUAACUUCUGUGACACCAAAUUUUGUGUACUUGACAAUCACUCUUUGUACACUCAUUCUCCACCAUCUAGAUGACAUUCCUUUCACAUUUACUUGAACUUGGCCUUGAUUUUUAUAUGACAUUGGUGUUGAUCUUCCCUUUGAUGCUGACUUUAAAUUUUACCUUGACCUUGACUUGAUCUCAACUCAAACAAAAUCCUGUUUCCCACCUUAUGUCUAGGCCAUGUCUAGCACAAAUUUGGAACUUGAUCUUUAACUUGACACUAAUCUUGACCUUGAGCUUUGCUGUAGUUCUAACACUCAUC
rnacentral:lncRNA from 1 species